rnacentral:rRNA from 1 species
UGGGGAAUAUUGGACAAUGGGCGCAAGCCUGAUCCAGCCAUGCCGCGUGAGUGAUGAAGGCCCUAGGGUUGUAAAGCUCUUUCACCGGUGAAGAUAAUGACGGUAACCGGAGAAGAAGCCCCGGCUAACUUCGUGCCAGCAGCCGCGGUAAUACGAAGGGGGCUAGCGUUGUUCGGAUUUACUGGGCGUAAAGCGCACGUAGGCGGACUAUUAAGUCAGGGGUGAAAUCCCGGGGCUCAACCCCGGAACUGCCUUUGAUACUGGUAGUCUUGAGUUCGAGAGAGGUGAGUGGAAUUCCGGGUGUAGAGGGGAAAUUCGUAGAUAUUCGGAGGAACACCAGUGGCGAAGGCGGCUCACUGGCUCGAUACUGACGCUGAGGUGCGAAAGCGUGGGGAGCAAACAGG